UCUAAGAUGUGCGGUGACGGCCGACGCUGCCCUGCAUGCGGGGCCUCUCCCUGCAUGCAGAGUGGGCCUGGGGUCCCCGCGUGGGACACCUCUCUUCUGCCUGAAGACACCCUUCCUGUCUGCAAAGCCUCGUUUGCAGCGCCUGGCCCUCUGGCAGCCCUGUGUCCUCCGCGGGCCCUGUGUGCGUGCCCGACCCGAAUUUCCCCGGAUAGAAACUGUACCUGCCUGCAAGCUCUGUACCUGCGAAGAGUUACCGCUGUCAGAGGUCACCGAGCCUGGGGGCCCCUGGGUCUUUCCGCACAGCAGAGUCCCGUUUCCAGGGCCCGUCCUGUCUGCCUGCUCUGCUCCUAAUUCCACGUGUAGCCGUUAGCAGAACGCGCCCCGAUUUACAGAGCCCUUCUCCGUUUCCAGGAUUCAACUUUUUCUGUAAGGUCUGUCCCUGUUUGCAGGACCUGGGCUCUCGACAGACCCCAGUCCUGUUUCAAGAUCUCGCCCGAGUCUGGGCCAUCCGAGCUUGACCACGAAGCUGAUUUCCCUGCCAGCUCACUUCCGCAGACCCUGCCUCUCUGAAGAAGCUGUCACUGUUAACAGAGCCUGUGCGUGUGCAGAGCAGGUGGAGGCUUGCAACACCUCUCCCUGCCUGCUGGUCUCUGUGUGCAGAGCCUCCGUCUGCAGAGCCUCUGCCUUUUUUACAGAGUCUGGAUCUCUUUGCAGGAUUCCUGAUUGUCCAGCCGGGUCCCACCUCCCUGCGUGCAGGAUCGGGGUCUGUCUCCCAAGGCCGUUCCUGCUCCCAGUGACCAGCCUGGAAAUGCAUGGUUACUCAAGAGGCUGCCUCUGUCUGGGCAGACGCUG